rnacentral:rRNA from 1 species
GGGGAAUAUUUGGACAAUGGGGGAAACCCUGAUCCAGCGACGCCGCGUGAGUGAAGAAGUAUUUCGGUAUGUAAAGCUCUAUCAGCAGGGAAGAAAAUGACGGUACCUGACUAAGAAGCCCCGGCUAACUAC